rnacentral:rRNA from 1 species
AUGGAGGAGAGGCUGAAACUAAGUCGCGACAGCACAACGGAGGAAGUGGAUGCUACGCAGUACCGACGCCUUGUGGGGAGCCUUCGCUACCUCACUCACACACGGCCGGACUUGGCAUUCUCCGUCGGCUAUGUCAGUCGGUUCAUGGAGCGACCAACGUCGGAACACCAGCAGGCAGUGAAGAGGAUCGUCCGCUACAUAGCAGGGACCCUCGACCACGGCCUCCAUUACCCUAGGUGCCCUGGGGCGGCACACUUCGUCGGAUACAGCGACAGCGACCACGCCGGCGACAUCGACACCAGCAAGAGCACGAGCGGGAUCCUCCUCUUCCUCGGCAAGUGUCUCGUGAGCUGGCAAUCAGUCAAGCAGCAGGUGGUGGCCCUGUCCAGCUGUGAGGCUGAGUACAUAGCGGCCUCCACCGCCUGUACUCGGGCGCUCUGGCUUGCUCGACUGCUUGGUGAUCUUCUCGUUCAAGACACCAGAACGGUGCAGCUCCUGGUGGACAGCAAGUCCGCCCUGGCCCUGGCAAAGAACCCCGUGUUCCACGAACGGAGCAAGCACAUCCGACUGAGGUAUCACUUCAUCUGCAGCUGUGUGGAAGAAGGGAGCAUCGAGGCGAACUACAUCAACACCAAGGAUCAGCUCGCAGACCUGCUCACCAAGCCCCUUGGGAGGGUCAAGUUCCUCGAACUUUGCUCCAGGAUUGGGAUGAUUCAACUCUCCCACAAGACGACGUACAAGACUUAG